GUCGUUUAUAUUUUAUUUAGAAGUUAUUCUCUGGUUUAACAUAUUUUCCCAUUGUACAAGGAUUAUUACAUACAUAUUAGACUUUUCAUUUGGUUCCCAUUUAUAGACUCUAAUAUCCAAACAUAAACUCUUGAGUGGGUUGGACUGCUUGAUGUUUUCCAGAACAUAUAUAUAUACACAUAUACAUACUGUAUAUAUGAAUAUAUCUUUAUAUGUAUAUAUAUAUAUAUAUAUAUAUAUAUGGAUGCAUAUAUAUAUAUAAAUAAAACAUCUAUUAGGUCAAAAGCGUGUGUUGUGAAAGUGUGGCACCUGUGAAGGAAGAGAUUCAAGAGCACGAAAACAGUCCCAGACUUUAUCAAAUGGAAAGUAAACAUUAACGACCCAUUAGCACUGACCAAGCUCGGACAACCUAUUAGCUAACCUCUUGCUUGCAGCUGUUCAAAUGCACUUCCCCACAACCAUUGGAAUACUUCUUCCAUGCAUACAUAUAUGUAUAUAUAUAUAUAUAUAUAUAUAGUAAAAAAUAUAGUAUUUGGAAUAAAGACUAAACUCUCAGACGACAUCGGGUAUAUCAUUUUCACAAUACUGUAUAUACAGUGUUAUUUGGCUGAAUUUACAGGGGAAACAAAGCUACAACAAAAAUUCCACAUUUGAUGAGUUCAUCUUUUAACAAGACUUCCACACACAUCGGAUCUAGCUCUCCACUUGCUUAGUGUUCAAUGUGGUUGUUCUAUUUGUCCCACACUAUAGAGGAUAUGAAAAUAUAAGAUGUUCAACAAAAAGUCAACAGGACAAGGUCUGCUUUAUUGCAAGUCAGCAAAUAGUAAUGUGUUCAGAACUUCAGGUCAAUAUAUCUAUAUCUAUAAUCCCCUUGCAUUAGCACAGAGGUGACACAAUAGAAACAUAUCUACUUCUGUAUUAUGUCUACUGUGUGGCGAUUGGUCUGAGAUCAGAGAUGCAGCCAAUCUGUCCCCUUUGGUGUCUGAUUACAUACAAAUCCAAUAAUAUUGCUUUUAUUUAAUCACCAAGGCGCGGAGAUGCAGAGAUACAAUUCCCAUCUUUAAUCAGAUGAUAUUUUUUAUAAUUAAAUCAAUAAUUCUUUAAGUAUUUUUUUAAGACUAAAUGGGGACUUGUUAAAUCAAAGAAAUAUAGGGUUAAAAAAUAAUACAUUCCAUAUUUAGUUUGUGCUUCUGCAUGCUCUUAUAUGUUUGUAAUUCAUAGCAUUCGGAGAUUCUUUGGAUGGUAAUAGAAAAAAAGAAUCGAUUGAUCAAUAGCCAUGUUGAUCAGUCCUAGCUCUAAGUAUGCCAGCAGGCACGGUCGUUGUAACUCUCACUCUCAGUCUUCUGUUGGAAUGUAGAACAGCCAGGCAACAUUCAUUGUGCAUUAUAUGACAGCCACAUGUGCAAUUGGAUUUGAAGAGGAUCAGUUUAAACAGGACACACACACACGCACACACACACACGCACACAGACACGCACGCACGCACGCACACAUAUACACAUAGAGGGAGAUAUAGGGAUGAGAUACUAAAUAUGGCAACAGACAGUAUAAUUAUAGACUCUAUUUUCGUUCCACACACGCACUACAACAAGCUAGCUCUGUGAUAUUGUCUGUUGCCAGGCCGCCGGGAUAGAGACCAGCAUGCAGCACCGUUUCACACGAGUUGUUCUCAUGUAUAAACACCGUCGCAACUACAACAUGUGUGUUCAACGUAGACUUUAGGGAGGGUUGUAACAAAGAAAAUAAGUGAAAUAGAAAACCUGUGAUUGACAUCUUGAGGGAUUUCAAGAUGGAUGACGAUCCAGAGAUCUUUUACGGGACAAACAAGGUCAAAGUAAGCGCAAUAGAAAAGCAUAAUGUGUUGAUGAUUUGUACACCAUUCUGUAUAUAUUAUCUAUGAUUUCAAUAAUAGCUUAUGUCCAAAUUGAAUAUACUGAUGAGUUUUAAUGAGUUUAGUGAGAUUAAAAAAGAGUUAAAAAGAAAUACUGUCAUAUAUAUUAUAUCGAUUGAGUUGUUUCUUCUCUUCUGUAUAAUUAUUUUGGAAGGUAAAUCAUGUGCUUAACAUCGUUCUUCCAUGAUAAAGCAAGUCAGCCUUGCUGUGCUGUGGAGGAAAAUCCAUCCCACAUCGUCAUUACUCUCCUCUUCUUUUCAAUUUUGAGUUCCGCCAAUCACGCUUGUCACUAAGGCAACGACUUCAGAUCCCGGCCAACUAGCACCUCCCCCCGUUAGCCAUCCGUCCGCGGAACGGCUGACUCCCCCCGGUCGAGUGACGGAGGGACAGUUCCUCCAGUGGCAGACAGAGAUAUGUGACGCCGUAUGAUCAAAGAGGACGUACUCCGUAGGGGGCCGUGGCGCCUGGUGGGUUCCCAGAGGGAACAGAUUAUGCUACACGAGUGCCUGUAUGUACUUGAAGAGCAACUCGGUGGAGGUCAGUGUACGUGUCCCACACUCUUUUUUUUGUAUUCCUGGGCAGGGAGAUUAUUGGUGAAGCACCACAGAGGGGAGACCCGCCUGGUGGGGACAAUCACAUGUCCCAAAGAUGUUUUGGUAGUAAAAAAAACGAAACAAGAGGCUAGCUUUGUGGUAUCAAUCCAUUACCUCCUCAACACCCAUCAACUGUACCCCCCGAGAAACAUAGAGAGAGACAUAGAAAGACAUAGAGAGGAAUAUAUAUAUAUAUAUAUAUAUAUACAUAUGCAUAUAUA
ensembl:lncRNA